AAAAAAAAAAAGUAUCGAGUAACUGGAAACGCGUAUUAGCUUAAGAUCUUAUCCGAACCUUAAUUAAAAGGAGUAUCAAUUUCAAUUUUUUCCCCCCACAUUAAAGUCAAAGUGCUCCACAGUGUAACACCCAUUUUUCCACAAAGGGCCAAACUCUUAAGAAAAUCGGGACAGAGGUGAAAGUGAGAGUAAAACAAAGAUUAGCACAGAAAAAGAUGAAAGAUUCUUUGAAGUCAGGUAUGCAGAAGUGUUAACAUGGUAUCUGCACAGAGCAAUUAAACGCAAGAAAAUAUUUUCACAAGUUUUUUUGUUUGAAAGUUUCAGUACAGUACAUUAAUAGAAAACAAUGAAUCACUACAGUAAAGAGGAGUCAAGUAAAAAAUGUAAGAUGUAUAGCUGUUUGUAAUCAGAUACAUAUAUAUGAACACAUAUAAAAGAAAUGUAUUCAAGAAGCUAAUACCACACAUCAAAAGCACUUAGUAAUAUGAUGCGUUAUUUGGCCCAAAAAGUCUCCUGCUGUCACAGGGAAUCAUAACUUUUAACUGCUAAGGAUAACAUCAGAAAUAUAACUAAAAAAAAAAAACAA